ACCUGCCCGUGAGUGGGGAAUAACGCUGCGAAAGCAGCGCUAAUACCGCAUGCGCUCGCCGCUUCACGCAGUGAGGAAAGCUUAAUGCGCUCAUGGAGGGGCCUGCGGCAGAUUAGCUAGUCGGUGGGGUAAUGGCCUACCGAGGCGACGAUCGGUAGCUGGUCUGAGAGGACGAUCAGCCACACUGGGAUUGAGAACGGCCCAG
rnacentral:rRNA from 1 species